CGAUUCAAAUCAAAAUGUUUUCCUUUUUCUUUUAUUUUUCAUUCCUUUAAACUGUUUCUGUAUGAAAUUCUCUUAAGAUUCAUAAGUGUUUCAUUCUCUACGAUAGUUAUAGGAUCCGUCUGCCCAAUUUGCACUGCAAUUAGUCCUUUGGUCAGUACCUGUUAUAUUCGGAGGAGCCGCAUGGUGAUUGUGGCGGCCGAUGAACGGUGGUUCGUUGAAUUCCUGGUUUACCUACUUUUUCCGUGGUGCUGUGCUCUUUUCUCUCCAUCACGUUUGCUGUAGGUUAUGGUGUUUUACUGAUGUUUCAUGGCCCAUGACGAAAAGGAUUACUGCCUACAACACGUGAUAACGUUACCCCUGACAAACAAUGUUCUAGAUGCCAUGUCUGACAUUUUGUGCAGCUGCGCGUUUGCUUUACACGGAUUGAAUGAAUGCUAUCUGCACUGCCAUUAAAUACAUGCAUGUGUAAGUCUUUCACAUCGUAAUUGUCCUCAUCGUGACAAAGGCUGGAUUUAGUAUCAAUUUAUGUUACUUAAUUAGGAUGUCCUGUUGUCAGAUAGGUGUUGGCUAUUCACAAACUUGUCAAAGUGAAUAAGAAGCUUUUCAAUACAAGUCAAAGGAAAUAUAUCCUCUCAAUCUUGUCCGUGCUCCAUAGGUUUAGCUCCAUAAAUAGAGCCUAAUAGUCAGGUUGAUGAAAAGUGUGAUUUAACCAUCAGUAAGCUACCUAUAUAUGUUUACAAAAUAUAUUUAACCAAAUAUGUGCGGAUUCUUCGAUACUAGGAUCUGCAUCUGUAUUAGGUGCUAAAGAAUCAGGAAAAUGUGUGGAAAGAUGUGUUAUAUGCCCAAUACACUAUAUCUAACUCAAAAACAGCAGCCUAUGAAUGAAUUUGUUAACAGCAUGUUUUGCGUAUAUUUAAUUCCUCAUUUUCUUAU